CAGGGUAUUACAGUAUAUAUAUAUUAUACUGGAGCCUAAAUGUGUUAUUCUUAUAUUGUGUGGAUGUGUUGAACCAUUUAUAUUAAUAUGUUUUUUCAACUGUUACUUGUUUAUAUUCUAAUACUUUCGGGGCCACAAUGUGACGCAACUUGUGGCGGGGAUAACAAUGCCACAGCCGGCUGCGGAAACCAUUGCGGCAAUUCCUGUUCCGACUACAAUGCCCUAGUGAAGUUGUGCGUCACUAAAUGCGACUACAAUAGUUGCGAUUGCAAACCUGGCUAUGUUUAUAGUAAUGGGCUGGGAUAUUGCAUCUAUCCAGAUGAUUGCU